rnacentral:rRNA from 1 species
GAUCCUGGCUUAGGAUGAACGCUAGCGACAGGCUAACACAUGCAAGUCGAGGGGCAGCACGGGAGUAGCAAUACAACUGGUGGCGACCGGCGCACGGGUGAGUAACGCGUAUGCAACCUACCUAUCAGGAGGGGAAUAACCCGGCGAAAGUCGGACUAAUACCGCAUAAAACAGGGGCACCGCAUGGUGAUAUUUGUUAAAGAAAUUCGCUGAUAGAUGGGCAUGCGUUCCAUUAGGUAGUUGGUGAGGUAACGGCUCACCAAGCCGACGAUGGAUAGGGGAACUGAGAGGUUGGUCCCCCACACUGGUACUGAGACACGGACCAGACUCCUACGGGAGGCAGCAGUGAGGAAUAUUGGUCAAUGGGCGAGAGCCUGAACCAGCCAAGUCGCGUGAAGGAAGAAGGAUCUAUGGUUCGUAAACUUCUUUUGCAGGGGAAUAAAGUGCAGGACGUGUCCUGUUUUGUAUGUACCCUGAGAAUAAGGAUCGGCUAACUCCGUGCCAGCCGCCGC